GACGAACGCUGGCGGCGUGCUUAACACAUGCAAGUCGAACGAUGAAGCCCAGCUUGCUGGGUGGAUUAGUGGCGAACGGGUGAGUAACACGUGGGUGAUCUGCCUGCACUCUGGGAUAAGCCUGGGAAACUGGGUCUAAUACCGGAUAUGACCUCUUGCUGCAUGGCGAGGGUGGAAAGUUUUUCGGUGCAGGAUGAGCCCGCGGCCUAUCAGCUUGUUGGUGGGGUAAUGGCCUACCAAGGCGACGACGGGUAGCCGGCCUGAGAGGGCGACCGGCCACACUGGGACUGAGACACGGCCCAGACUCCUACGGGAGGCAGCAGUGGGGAAUAUUGCACAAUGGGCGAAAGCCUGAUGCAGCGACGCCGCGUGAGGGAUGACGGCCUUCGGGUUGUAAACCGUACUUCUAGCAGGACGAAG
rnacentral:rRNA from 1 species